rnacentral:lncRNA from 1 species
AAUAAUGGGGGUCUAUGUUGGACAUAUUUUUAGAAUAAAUAAAAUAAGUGACAUCAAAAAUAAAAAUAAAAUGGAAACAAAUGGUGAAAUAAAAUAAAUAAAAUGAGACAAGUGAAAAAGAAACAAAGGAAAAUGCACACGUUGGGGGUUGAACCCCUUACCUUGGGGUCAUGGGGGAAUCAACCCCCUCUCCCACUGGGCCAAUGGCUCGGUGGUGUUAACAAACACACCAAAUUAACUAAAUAAUAAAUAAAAUGAAUAAAUGGAAUUUGCAUGCUAGCCAACCAACC